CAUUAUCUAAAUUCUUUUUGAAGUGGGUGAAAAAUUGUUACUUUUUAUGUACUUCCAGACUGUUGAAGUUUAUAACUAAAAAUAAACCAAUAGGAAAGCUAGCCAUGGCAUAGUGGCUACAUGCAUGGGAUGUGAAGCCACACUUCCUGAGUUUGAAUCCCAGCUCUGCCUCAUCUUAAAAGUGUGAUCAUAGAGAGGUAACUUAACUUGUGGCUCAAUUGCCUUAUUUGUAAAAUGGUAAUAAUGAUAGUACCAACCUUAUAGGUUUGUUGUGUGAAUUAAACGAGUUAACACUCAUAAAAAGGUGAAAAAAGACUUGGCAUAAACAAUAAGUUGAGUAUUUAUUGGUAAACAAUAAAUUUUUACCUUAAAAAAGAGCUACUUGUUUGUUUAAUUAGCAGAGGACAGAAGGGAGGAAGUGAGCAAAAUGGGAAAAGAUUAAUGCCAGAUGAUAAAGGGCCUUGACUACCAAGCUAAGAAAUGGAGAUUAAUUUCUUUAGUAGGAAACGAGGAGCCUUUCAUUCAUUCAACACAUAUUUAUUGAGUGCUUUCAGUGUGCCAACAUCAUUCUGAAUGAUUGGGAUACACGAGUGGGAGUGAGUGAAGUGGACAAUGGCAGCAUUUUAGAAAAGGACUAAGGUCAUGGGAUACAUGAACUUCAGGCUUAAUCUCUGUGUGAGAAAAACAGCAUGAAGAUAAUCAACUCUAUGUCAGAAGAAAUUGGCAACACUACUAACCACGAGUAAUGCACACCGAAGGCAAGCUACCUGAGCCCUGAUCCCCCACCUGCCACUCUAGCGAUGUGAUUUUGGGCCAGUUAAUUAGUUCCUUUCUGCCUCACUUUCCCCUUCAUAGGGUUGUGAAGAGGACGUUACUAUUUGUACACUGUUUUGAGCAGUGCCUGCUGUACAGUAAGGACCAUAUAUGUGUUUAUAAAAUAAAUCUUAGUUGCUAGAGGCAACACUAGGCAGCUG
rnacentral:lncRNA from 1 species